rnacentral:rRNA from 1 species
CCUACGGGAUGCAGCAGUGGGGAAUAUUGCACAAUGGGGGAAACCCUGAUGCAGCGACGCCGCGUGAGUGAAGAAGUAUUUCGGUAUGUAAAGCUCUGUCAGCAGGGAAGAAAAUGACGGUACCUGACCAAGAAGCCCCGGCUAACUACGUGCCAGCAGCCGCGGUAAUACGUAGGGGGCAAGCGUUAUCCGGAUUUACUGGGUGUAAAGGGAGCGUAGACGGCAGGGCAAGUCUGGAGUGAAAGGCGGGGGCCCAACCCCCGGACUGCUCUGGAAACUGCCAGGCUGGAGUGCAGGAGAGGUAAGUGGAAUUCCUAGUGUAGUGGUGAAAUGCGUAGAUAUUAGGAGGAACACCAGUGGCGAAGGCGGCUUACUGGACUGUAACUGACGUUGAGGCUCGAAAGCGUGGGGAGCAAACAGGAUUAGAUACCCGUGUAGUC